rnacentral:rRNA from 1 species
GAUGAACGCUGGCGGCGUGCCUAAUACAUGCAAGUCGAACGCUGGAAAUCUAGCUUGCUAGCUUGAAGGAGUGGCGAACGGGUGAGUAAUACAUAAGCAACCUACCCACGAAGACUGGGAUAAUCUCUGGAAACGGGGACUAAUACCGGAUAGGUAAUCGGAAGGCAUCGUCUGAUUAUUAAAGGUUAAAAACACUGGUGGAUGGGCUUAUGGCGCAUUAGUUAGUUGGUGAGGUAACGGCCCACCAAGACGAUGAUGCGUAGCCGGCCUGAGAGGGUGAACGGCCACAUUGGGACUGAGACACGGCCCAGACUCCUACGGGAGGCAGCAGUAGGGAAUUUUCGGCAAUGGGGGAAACCCUGACCGAGCAACGCCGCGUGAGUGAGGACGGCCUUCGGGUUGUAAAGCUCUGUUGUAAGGGAAGAACGGUAGAUAGAGAAUAUCUAAAUGACGGUACCUUACCAGAAAGCCACGGCUAACUACGUG